rnacentral:sRNA from 1 species
CCAAGAUGGCGGCGGAGCUGGUGGAGGCCAAAAACAUGGUGAUGAGUUUUCGAGUCUCCGACCUUCAGAUGCUCCUGGGUUUCGUGGGCCGGAGUAAGAGCGGACUGAAGCACGAGCUAGUCACCAGGGCCCUCCAGCUGGUGCAGUUUGACUGUAGCCCUGAGCUGUUCAAGAAGAUCAAGGAGCUGUACGAGACCCGCUACGCCAAGAAGAACUCGGAGCCUGCCCCACAGCCACAUCGGCCCCUGGACCCCCUGACCAUGCACUCCACCUACGACCGGGCCGGCGCGGUGCCCAGGACUCCACUGGCAGGCCCCAAUAUUGACUACCCCGUGCUCUACGGAAAGUACUUAAACGGACUGGGACGGUUGCCCGCCAAGACCCUCAAGCCAGAAGUCCGCCUGGUGAAGCUGCCGUUCUUUAAUAUGCUGGACGAGCUGCUGAAGCCCACCGAAUUAGUCCCACAGAACAACGAGAAGCUUCAGGAGAGCCCAUGCAUCUUCGCAUUGACGCCAAGACAGGUGGAGUUGAUCCGGAACUCCAGGGAACUGCAGCCCGGAGUUAAAGCCGUGCAGGUCGUCCUGAGGUAUGCCCAGGUGUGCCCGCGACCCCAGGGCUGGACCC